AGCUAGUUGGUGAGGUAAUGGCCCACCAAGGCAACGAUCGGUAGCCGGACUGAGAGGUUGAACGGCCACAUUGGGACUGAGACACGGCCCAGACUCCUACGGGAGGCAGCAGUGGGGAAUAUUGCACAAUGGGGGAAACCCUGAUGCAGCGACGCCGCGUGGAGGAAGAAGGUCUUCGGAUUGUAAACUCCUGUUGUUGAGGAAGAUAAUGACGGUACUCAACAAGGAAGUGACGGCUAACUACGUGCCAGCAGCCGCGGUAAAACGUAGGUCACAAGCGUUGUCCGGAAUUACUGGGUGUAAAGGGAGCGCAGGCGGGAAGACAAGUUGGAAGUGAAAUCUAUGGGCUCAACCCAUAAACUGCUUUCAAAACUGUUUUUCUUGAGUAGUGCAGAGGUAGGCGGAAUUCCCGGUGUAGCGGUGGAAUGCGUAGAUAUCGGGAGGAACACCAGUGGCGAAGGCGGCCUACUGGGCACCAACUGACGCUGAGGCUCGAAAGUGUGGGUAGCAAACAGGAUUAGAUACCCUGGUAGUCCACACCGUAAACGAUGAUUACUAGGUGUUGGAGGAUUGACCCCUUCAGUGCCGCAGUUAACACAAUAAGUAAUCCACCUGGGGAGUACGACCGCAAGGUUGAAACUCAAAGGAAUUGACGGGGGCCCGCACAAGCAGUGGAGUAUGUGGUUUAAUUCGACGCAACGCGAAGAACCUUACCAAGUCUUGACAUACUGCGACGCACAUAGAAAUAUGUGUUUCCUUCGGGACGCAGAGACAGGUGGUGCAUGGUUGUCGUCAGCUCGUGUCGUGAGAUGUUGGGUUAAGUCCCGCAACGAGCGCAACCCUUACUGUCAGUUACUACGCAAGAGGACUCUGGCAGGACUGCCGUUGACAAAACGGAGGAAGGUGGGGAUGACGUCAAAUCAUCAUGCCCUUUAUGACUUGGGCUACACACGUACUACAAUGGCGUUAAACAAAGAGAAGCAAGACCGCGAGGUGGAGCAAAACUCAGAAACAACGUCCCAGUUCGGACUGCAGGCUGCAACUCGCCUGCACGAAGUCGGAAUUGCUAGUAAUCGUGGAUCAGCAUGCCACGGUGAAUACGUUCCCGGGCCUUGUACACACCGCCCGUCACACCAUGAGAGCCGGGGGGACCCGAAGUCGGUAGUCUAACCGCAAGGAGGACGCCGCCGAAGGUAAAACUGGUGAUUGGGGUGAAGUCGUAACAAGGUAA
rnacentral:rRNA from 1 species